rnacentral:rRNA from 1 species
UACGGAAGGGGGCUAGCGUUGCUCGGAAUCACUGGGCGUAAAGGGUGCGUAGGCGGAUCUUUAAGUCAGGGGUGAAAUCCUGGAGCUCAACUCCAGAACUGCCUUUGAUACUGAGGAUCUCGAGUUCGGGAGAGGUGAGUGGAACUGCGAGUGUAGAGGUGAAAUUCGUAGAUAUUCGCAAGAACACCAGUGGCGAAGGCGGCUCACUGGCCCGAUACUGACGCUGAGGCACGAAAGCGUGGGGAGCAAACAGG